UGUGAUGCUCCUUCAAGCUGUGAUGAAAUUCUUGUCUAGACUUGUUUAGUUCAAAAUUUAGUCUAUUACGUAUUUGCCAAUAUAAAUUGCGUUUCGCGAGAUACAAAUUUUUGCACAGUCAUUUAAUCUGUUCUAGCUCUCCUAUAUGAGUAAAAAUCUCACAACUUGUCAACAAGAUGUACAUGUCGUUCGCACGUCUUGUUCUCAGUUAUACAUGCAGGGACGCCGGAACUGGGGGGGGCAGGGGGGGGCGGCUGCCCCCCUUGCCUUUUGCUACGGGGGGGCAGGGGGGGCAGAAGUGCCCUUUUAGUUGUAAAAUAAUACGUGAUAAAUCACAUUUCCAACGAUGGUUUUUGUAGGAAAAUCACGAGAUUCAGG